UGCUUUGUGGGCUGGUGCUGUGGCCGGGCCCACAGGCAGCCUCUCUCUCCGCAGAGCCUUCCCGCUGGCGAGACCCAAGCAAAAACACCUGGAGCCGUUCCCAGCCUCACCGAGCUACAGAGAAACGAGGCGUCUGAGGCCUCGGUGUGUCAGUGUGCGGGCGCUGGUCCAUUCCUUUCCUCCCAGGAGGAAGGAAGGGUGGUCUGGUGGGCUGGCUGGACCAUUCAGGGAUUCUUGGAGCAAGAUGAAGGGCAGCAAGGCUGAGCACAGGACACCUCUGUUCCUGGGGAUGUGCUGCUCUUGGACAGAAACGACCGGUCUGGGAGGAUGCCUGCUUGUGACUGGACACCCACUGACAGCUGGACACCCCCUCUGCCAGAUCUUCUCUGCUGGGAUCAGCCUUUCCUCUGACCCAGGUACACUGCUUAUUUCCAAGGCCCAGUCCUGGAGUGGAAGGAUUCCCAUGGGAAAGGAAAGGGCCUGGCAUGGUCUGAGAAAAAAGAGCCCAGCCUGGCCAUGGCUGGGCCCAAAGUGGAGAUAAAGAAUGAACAGAUAAACAACAGAG